rnacentral:rRNA from 1 species
AUACCGCAUAAUAUCAUUUGGCCGCAUUACCGAAUGAUCAAAGCAGCAAUGCGCCUGAAGAUGGUCCCGCGGUCCAUUAGCCUGUUGGCGGGGUAACGGCCCACCAAAGCUACGAUGGAUAGCCGGCCUGAGAGGGUGAUCGGCCACACUGGGACUGAGAUACGGCCCAGACUCCUACGGGAGGCAGCAGUAGGGAAUAUUGCGCAAUGGCCUAACGGCUGACGCAGCAACGCCGCGUGGAUGAUGAAGCAUUUCGGUGUGUAAAGUCCUUUCAGUAGGGAAGAACGGCUUCGGCCUUGACGGUACCUACAGAAGAAGCACCGGCUAACUCCGUGCCAGCAGCCGCGGUAAUACGGGGGGUGCAAGCGUUGUUCGGAUUUACUGGGCGUAAGCGCACGCAGGCGGACUGUCAAGUCAGAUGUGAAAACCACGAGCUUAACUCUUGGCCUGCAUUUGAAACUGGCAGUCUUGAGUACCGGAGAGGAUGGCGGAAUUCCUGGUGUAGCGGUGAAAUGCGUAGAUAUCAGGAAGAACACCGGUGGCGAAGGCGGCCAUCUGGACGGAUACUGACGCUCAUGUGCGAAGGCUAGGGGAGCAAACAGGAUUAGAUACCCUGGUAGUCCUAGCGGUAAACGAUGGGCACUAGGUGUCGGGGGUAUCGACCCCCUCGGUGCCGCAGCUAACGCAUUAAGUGCCCCGCCUGGGGAGUACGGCCGCAAGGCUGAAACUCAAAGGAAUUGACGGGGGCCCGCACAAGCGGUGGAGUAUGUGGUUUAAUUCGACGCAACGCGAAGAACCUUACCUGGGUUUGACAUGUUUUGGAAAGCUACAGAGGUGUAGCCCCCUCUUCGGAGGCCAUUGCACAGGUGUAGCAUGGCUGUCGUCAGCUCGUGCCGUGAGGUGUUGGGUUAAGUCCCGCAACGAGCGCAACCCCUGUCCUUAGUUGCCAUCAGUUCGGCUGGGAACUCUAAGGAGACUGCCGGUGACAAGCCGGAGGAAGGUGGGGAUGACGUCAAGUCCUCAUGGCCCUUACGCCCAGGGCUACACACGUACUACAAUGGUCGGUACAGAGGGCUGCAAUGCCGCAAGGUGGAGCUAAUCCCUAAAGCCGGCCUCAGUUCAGAUUGGAGUCUGCAACUCGACUCCAUGAAGGCGGAAUCGCUAGUAAUCGCAGAUCAGCACGCUGCGGUGAAUACGUUCCCGGGCCUUGUACACACCGCCCGUCAAGCCAUGGGAGUUGGGAGUACCCGAAGUCGUCGAUCUGACGCAAGAUGACGGCGCCUAAGGUAAUAUCAACGACUGGGGCUAAGUCGUAACAAGGUA